AACGAACGCUGGCGGCAGGCCUAACACAUGCAAGUCGAACGCCCCGCAAGGGGAGUGGCAGACGGGUGAGUAACACGUGGGAACAUGCCCUUUGGUUCGGAAUAACUCAGGGAAACUUGAGCUAAUACCGGAUAAGUCCGCGAGGAGAAAGAUUUAUCGCCGAAGGAUUGGCCCGCGUCUGAUUAGCUUGUUGGUGAGGUAAUGGCUCACCAAGGCGACGAUCAGUAGCUGGUCUGAGAGGAUGAUCAGCCACAUUGGGACUGAGACACGGCCCAAACUCCUACGGGAGGCAGCGGUGGGGAAUAUUGGACAAUGGGCGCAAGCCUGAUCCAGCUAUGCCGCGUGAGUGAUGACGGCCUUCGGGUUGUAAAGCUCUUUUGUCCGGGAAGAUAAUGACUGUACCGGAAGAAUAAGCCCCGGCAAACUUCGUGCCAGCCGCCGCCGUAA
rnacentral:rRNA from 1 species